CGUAUGGUGUCCGGCACAGGAUCGGAUGGCGAUGCGGCCCAAUUGAGGU
rnacentral:ncRNA from 1 species